rnacentral:rRNA from 1 species
GACGAACGCUGGCGGCGUGCUUAACACAUGCAAGUCGAACGAUGAAGCACCUUCGGGUGUGGAUUAGUGGCGAACGGGUGAGGAACACGUGAGAAAUCUGCCUUCAACUCUGGGAUAACUCCGGGAAACCGGGGCUAAUACCGGAUAUGAGCUUUGGCCGCAUGGCCGGGGCUGGAAAGUUUUUCGGUUGAAGAUGAUCUCGCGGCCUAUCAGCUUGUUGGUGAGGUAAUGGCUCACCAAGGCGACGACGGGUAUCCGGCCUGAGAGGGCGACCGGACACACUGGGACUGAGACACGGCCCAGACUCCUACGGGAGGCAGCAGUGGGGAAUAUUGGGCAAUGGGCGAAAGCCUGACCCAGCGACGCCGCGUGAGGGAUGAAGGCCUUCGGGUUGUAAACCUCUUUCAGUAGGGAAGAAGCGAAAGUGACGGUACCUACAGAAGAAGCACCGGCUAACUAUGUGCCAGCAGCCGCAGUAAAAC